AGCUGGAGCUCCACCGCGGUGCGGCCGCUCUAGCCCUCCGGUUGAUGGUGGCGGCGAGUGCGGACGGGUGAGUAACGCGCACCAAUCUGCCUGGUAGCGGGGGACAACUCGGGGAAACUCGAGCUAAUACCGCAUACGCCCUACGGGGGAAAGCGGGGGACCUUCGGGCCUCGCACUAUCAGAUGAGCCUGCGUCCGAUUAGCUUGUUGGUGAGGUAAUGGCUCACCAAGGCUAGCAUCGGUAGCUGGUCUGAGAGGAUGAUCAGCCACACUGGGACUGAGACACGGCCCAGACUCCUACGGGAGGCAGCAGUGGGGAAUAUUGGACAAUGGGCGCAAGCCUGAUCCAGCAAUGCCGCGUGAGUGAUGAAGGCCUUAGGGUUGUAAAGCUCUUUUACCAGGGAUGAUAAUGACAGUACCUGGAGAAUAAGCUCCGGCUAACUCCGUGCCAGCAGCCGCGGUAAUACGGGC
rnacentral:rRNA from 1 species